rnacentral:misc_RNA from 1 species
AACCAUAGAAACCUGCGGAGUACCUGCGGAGGGAUCAUUACCGAGUGAGGGCCCUCCGGGUCCAACCUCCCACCCGUGUUUAACGAACCUUGUUGCUUCGGCGGGCCCGCCUCACGGCCGCCGGGGGGCACCCCGCCCCCGGGCCCGCGCCCGCCGAAGACACCUGUGAACGCUGUCUGAAGUUGCAGUCUGAGACACUAGCUCAAUCAGUUAAAACUUUUAGCAAUGGAUCUCAGAUCG